CGAAGCGACGUCAAACCGAUAAAACAGCAGUGUAAAGUGAGCCGCAGGGCGCUUUGCGCGACAGCGCAAAGGCAGGCGGUUUCGCGUAGCGAAAGCGAAUGCUUUGGGGUGGGGUGACUGCGUACCUUUUGUAUAAUGGGUCAGCGACUUAUAUUCUGUAGCAAGGUUAACCGAACAGGGGAGCCGGAGGGAAACCGAGUCUUAACCGGGCGUUAAGUUGCAGGGUAUAGACCCGAAACCCGGUGAUCUAGCCAUGGGCAGGUUGAAGGUUGGGUAACACUAACUGGAGGACCGAACCGACUAAUGUUGAAAAAUUAGCGGAUGACCUGUGGCUGGGGGUGAAAGGCCAAUCAAACCGGGAGAUAGCUGGUUCUCCCCGAAAGCUAUUUAGGUAGCGCCUCGUGAAUUCAUCUCCGGGGGUAGAGCACUGUUUCGGCUAGGGGGCCAUCCCGGCUUACCAACCCGAUGCAAACUGCGAAUACCGGAGAAUGUUAUCACGGGAGACACACGGCGGGUGCUAACGUCCGUCGUGAAGAGGGAAACAACCCAGACCGCCAGCUAAGGUCCCAAAGUCAUGGUUAAGUGGGAAACGAUGUGGGAAGGCCCAGACAGCCAGGAUGUUGGCUUAGAAGCAGCCAUCAUUUAAAGAAAGCGUAAUAGCUCACUGGUCGAGUCGGCCUGCGCGGAAGAUGUAACGGGGCUAAACCAU
rnacentral:rRNA from 1 species